ACAUGCAAGUCGAGGGGCAGCGGGAUUGAAGCUUGCUUCAAUUGCCGGCGACCGGCGCACGGGUGAGUAACGCGUAUCCAACCUUCCGUACACUCAGGGAUAGCCUUUCGAAAGAAAGAUUAAUACCUGAUGGUAUGAUGAGAUUGCAUGAUAGCAUCAUUAAAGAUUCAUCGGUGUACGAUGGGGAUGCGUUCCAUUAGGUAGUAGGCGGGGUAACGGCCCACCUAGCCUACGAUGGAUAGGGGUUCUGAGAGGAAGGUCCCCCACAUUGGAACUGAGACACGGUCCAAACUCCUACGGGAGGCAGCAGUGAGGAAUAUUGGUCAAUGGACGAGAGUCUGAACCAGCCAAGUAGCGUGAAGGAUGAAGGUCCUACGGAUUGUAAACUUCUUUUAUAAGGGAAUAAAACCUCCCACGUGUGGGAGCUUGUAUGUACCUUAUGAAUAAGCAUCGGCUAACUCCGUGCCAGCAGCCGCGGUAAUACGGAGGAUGCGAGCGUUAUCCGGAUUUAUUGGGUUUAAAGGGAGCGCAGACGGGUCGUUAAGUCAGCUGUGAAAGUUUGGGGCUCAACCUUAAAAUUGCAGUUGAUACUGGCGUCCUUGAGUGCGGUUGAGAUGUGCGGAAUUCGUGGUGUAGCGGUGAAAUGCUUAGAUAUCACGAAGAACUCCGAUUGCGAAGGCAGCACACUAAGCCGUAACUGACGUUCAUGCUCGAAAGUGUGGGUAUCAAACAGGAUUAGAUACCCUGGUAGUCCACACGGUAAACGAUGGAUACUCGCUGUUGGCGAUAUACUGUCAGCGGCUUAGCGAAAGCGUUAAGUAUCCCACCUGGGGAGUACGCCGGCACGGUGAAACUCAGAGGAAUUGACGGGGGCCCGC
rnacentral:rRNA from 1 species